GACGAACGCUGGCGGCGUGCUUAACACAUGCAAGUCGAACGGAAAGGCCCUGCUUUUGUGGGGUGCUCGAGUGGCGAACGGGUGAGUAACACGUGAGUAACCUGCCCUUGACUUUGGGAUAACUUCAGGAAACUGGGGCUAAUACCGGAUAGGAGCUCCUGCUGCAUGGUGGGGGUUGGAAAGUUUCGGCGGUUGGGGAUGGACUCGCGGCUUAUCAGCUUGUUGGUGGGGUAGUGGCUUACCAAGGCUUUGACGGGUAGCCGGCCUGAGAGGGUGACCGGCCACAUUGGGACUGAGAUACGGCCCAUACUCCUACGGGAGGCAGCGGUGGGGAAUAUUGCACGAUGGGCGGAAGCCUGAUGCAGCAACGCCGCGUGCGGGAUGACGGCCUUCGGGUUGUAAACCGCGUGCGCCUGUGACGAAGCGUGAGUGACGGUAAUGGGUAAAGAAGCACCGGCUAACUACGUG
rnacentral:rRNA from 1 species